UCUAAUGCAGAGUUAUUUCAAUCUUAGGGAUGUUGUAUAGAUGAAGAACAAUUCCAUCUCUAUAAAAACACUGAUCUUUAUGGUCAAUGUUGGAACUCCUAUGUUGGCAAAGAGCUGGAUCAAUAUUGCUAUAAUUUAAUGGACUCAGAAACGAUGUCUCGUUCACUUAAUUCACCAUAUUUUGAUGUCUGCCAAUGAUGAUGGGUGGUUAUUUCACCUAUUUCCACUGUUUGCAUGUGAUAAAUUGUGGCAAUACACUUGUUCGAUUUAUCUGAACCCCUAUAACACAAGAAACUCUGGCACAAAAAUGUUGCUUUCCUGUUCAAAAUUUUUUUUCUUCAAAGAACUAUAUAAUACAUUGAGUUAAUGACAGAAGUGAUGAUCAGGGAAUACUUCUAUCAUGGAUUAGUCUUUCUGAUGGCUUACAGGUUUGCGGUCACGUUGUUGGUAGUGCCUCUGCUUGCAUUAUUUUUUCUUCCUGUCAGUUCCUUCUUAUUUCAUUUUGAUACUAAUUAUUUAGGACAGAAAAAAAAAAAAGACCGUCAAGUUCUGCUUCUUUAUAUCAUAGCUUUGCAUUUGCUUAUGUUGUUCAUAUGCAAAGUCAAUUAUGUAAACAUUUACCAUGGGAUAUUCCUGAUGCAGUUAGUCACUAAUUUUUAGCAGAUGGGAAAUUUUUAAUUAUGGGCUUGUGAGCUUACACCCUCCUA
rnacentral:lncRNA from 1 species